rnacentral:rRNA from 1 species
AUUGAACGCUGGCGGCAUGCCUUACACAUGCAAGUCGAACGGCAGCACGGGGCAACCUGGUGGCGAGUGGCGAACGGGUGAGUAAUGCAUCGGAACGUACCUUUCAGUGGGGGAUAACGUAGCGAAAGUUACGCUAAUACCGCAUAUUCUGUGAGCAGGAAAGCAGGGGAUCGCAAGACCUUGCGCUGAUUGAGCGGCCGAUGUCAGAUUAGCUAGUUGGUGAGGUAAAGGCUCACCAAGGCGACGAGCUGUAGCGGGUCUGAGAGGAUGAUCCGCCAAACUGGAACGGAGAACCGGUCCAGACUCCUACGGGAGGCAGCAGUGGGGAAUUUUGGACAAGGGGGGCAACCCUGAUCCAGCCAUGCCGCGUGAGUGAAGAAGGCCUUCGGGUUGUAAAGCUCUUUCGGCCGGGGAGAAAUCGCACGGGCUAAUACCCUGUGUGGAUGACGGUACCGGAAUAAGAAGCACCGGCUAACUACGUGCCAGCCGCCGCCGUAAAAC